AGAGUUUGAUCCUGGCUCAGAUUGAACGCUGGCGGAAUGCUUUACACAUGCAAGUCGAACGGCAGCACGGGGGCAACCCUGGUGGCGAGUGGCGAACGGGUGAGUAAUACAUCGGAACGUGCCCAGUCGUGGGGGAUAACGUAGCGAAAGCUACGCCAAUACCGCAUACGAACUCUGGCUGAAAGCGGGGGUCGCAAGACCUCGCGCGAUUGGAGCGGCCGAUGGCAGAUUAGGUAGUUGGCGGGGUAAAGGCUCACCAAGCCGACGAUCUGUAGCUGGUCUGAGAGGACGACCAGCCACACUGGGACUGAGACACGGCCCAGACUCCUACGGGAGGCAGCAGUGGGGAAUUUUGGACAAUGGGCGCAAGCCUGAUCCAGCCAUUCCGCGUGCAGGAUGUAGGCCCUCGGGUUGUAAACUGCUUUUGUACGGAACGAAACGGCCUUUUCUAAUACAAGAGGCUAAUGACGGUACCGUAAGAAUAAGCACCGGCUAACUACGUGCCAGCAGCCGCGGUAAUACGUAGGGUGCAAGCGUUAAUCGGAAUUACUGGGCGUAAAGCGUGCGCAGGCGGUGAUGUAAGACAGAUGUGAAAUCCCCGGGCUUAACCUGGGAACUGCAUUUGUGACUGCAUCGCUGGAGUGCGGCAGGGGGGGAUGGAAUUCCGCGUGUAGCAGUGAAAUGCGUAGAUAUGCGGAGGAACACCGAUGGCGAAGGCAAUCCCCUGGGCCUGCACUGACGCUCAUGCACGAAAGCGUGGGGAGCAGACAGGACUAGAUACCCUGGUAGUCCACGCCCUAAACGAUGUCAACUGGUUGUUGGUCCUUCGCUGGAUCAGUAACGAAGCUAACGCGUGAAGUUGACCGCCUGGGGAGUACGGCCGCAAGGUUGAAACUCAAAGGAAUUGACGGGGACCCGCACAAGCGGUGGAUGACGUGGUUUAAUUCGAUGCAACGCGAAAAACCUUACCUACCCUUGACAUGUCUGGAAUCUCGCAGAGAUGUGAGAGUGCCCGAAAGGGAGCCAGAACACAGGUGCUGCAUGGCUGUCGUCAGCUCGUGUCGUGAGGUGUUGGGUUAAGUCCCGCAACGAGCGCAACCCUUGCCAUUAGUUGCUACAUUUAGUUGGGCACUCUAAUGGGACUGCCGGUGACAAACCGGAGGAAGGUGGGGAUGACGUCAAGUCCUCAUGGCCCUUAUGGGUAGGGCUACACACGUCAUACAAUGGCCGGUACAAAGGGCUGCCAACCCGCGAGGGGGAGCUAAUCCCAUAAAACCGGUCGUAGUCCGGAUCGCAGUCUGCAACUCGACUGCGUGAAGUCGGAAUCGCUAGUAAUCGUGGAUCAGCAUGUCACGGUGAAUACGUUCCCGGGUCUUGUACACACCGCCCGUCACACCAUGGGAGCGGGUUCUGCCAGAAGUAGUUAGCCUAACCGCAAGGAGGGCGAUUACCACGGCAGGGUUCGUGACUGGGGUGAAGUCGCAACAAGGUAGCCGUAUCGGAAGGUGCGGCUG
rnacentral:rRNA from 1 species